GGCCUUAUGGCGCAAUGGUAGCGCGUCAGAUUCCAGUUCUCAAUUGGAAAAACCUGAAGGUUCAGCGUUCAAAUCGCUGUAGGGUCA